GCCCUCGUGGAUCAACGGUAGAUCGUCCUCAAUUCAUGGAUGUUGAACACUAUACGUGGAGGAAGGCGCGGGUUCGAGUCCCACUGGGGGCA